rnacentral:rRNA from 1 species
UAGUAAUCGCGAAUCAGCAUGUCGCGGUGAAUACGUUCCCGGGCCUUGUACACACCGCCCGUCACACCAUGAGAGUUGGCAAUACCCAACGUACGUGAUCUAACCCGCAAGGGAGGAAGCGUCCUAAGGUAGGGUCAGCGAUUGGGGUGAAGUCGUAACAAGGUACC